AGCGUACACGGUGGAUGCCUAGGCAGUCAGAGGCGAUGAAGGGCGUGCUAAUCUGCGAAAAGCGUCGGUAAGGUGAUAUGAACCGUUAUAACCGGCGAUACCCGAAUGGGGAAACCCAGUGUGUUUCGACACACUAUCAUGUCAUGAAUACAUAGUGGCAUGAGGCGAACCGGGGGAACUGAAACAUCUAAGUACCCCGAGGAAAAGAAAUCAACCGAGAUUCCCCCAGUAGCGGCGAGCGAACGGGGAGGAGCCCAGAACCUGAAUCGGCUUGUGUGUUAGUGGAAGCGUCUGGAAAGUCGCGCAGCAAAGGGUGAUAGCCCCGUACACUAAAAUGCACAGGUCGUGAGUUCGAUGAGUAGGGCGGGACACGUGACAUCCUGUCUGAAUAUGGGGGGACCAUCCUCCAAGGCUAAAUACUCCUGACUGACCGAUAGUGAACCAGUACCGUGAGGGAAAGGCGAAAAGAACCCCGGCGAGGGGAGUGAAAUAGAACCUGAAACCGUGUACGUACAAGCAGUGGGAGCACCUUCGUGGUGUGACUGCGUACCUUUGUAUAAUGGGUCAGCGACUUAUAUUUUGUAGCAAGGUUAACCGUAUAGGGAGCCGUAGGAAACCGAGUCUUAACUGGGCGAAUAGUUGCAAGGUAUAGACCCGAAACCCGGUGAUCUAGCCAUGGGCAGGUUGAAGGUUGGGUAACACUAACUGGAGGACCGAACCGACUAAUGUUGAAAAAUUAGCGGAUGACUUGUGGCUGGGGUGAAAGGCCAAUCAAACCGGGAGAUAGCUGGUUCUCCCGAAAGCUAUUUAGGUAGCGCCUCGUGAACUCAUCUUCGGGGUAGAGCACUGUUUCGGCUAGGGGCCAUCCCGGCUUACCAAACCGAUGCAAACUCCGAAUACCGAAGAAUGUUAUCACGGGAGACACACGGCGGGUGCUAACGUCCGUCGUGAAGAGGAAACAACCCAGACCGCCAGCUAAGGUCCCAAAGUCAUGGUUAAGUGGGAAACGAUGUGGGAAGGCAUAGACAGCCAGGAUGUUGGCUUAGAAGCAGCCAUCAUUUAAAGAAAGCGUAAUAGCUCACUGGUCGAGUCGGCCUGCGCGGAAGAUGUAACGGGGCUAAACCAUGCACCGAAGCUGCGGCAGCGACGCUUAGGCGUUGUUGGGUAGGGGAGCGUUCUGUAAGCCGUUGAAGGUGGCCUGUGAGGGUUGCUGGAGGUAUCAGAAGUGCGAAUGCUGACAUAAGUAACGAUAAAGCGGGUGAAAAGCCCGCUCGCCGGAAGACCAAGGGUUCCUGUCCAACGUUAAUCGGGGCAGGGUGAGUCGACCCCUAAGGCGAGGCUGAAAAGCGUAGUCGAUGGGAAACAGGUUAAUAUUCCUGUACUUGGUGUUACUGCGAAGGGGGGACGGAGAAGGCUAGGCUAGCCGGGCGACGGUUGUCCCGGUUUAAGCGUGUAGGGGGUGUGACCUGGUAAAUCCGGUUGCAUACUAACCCUGAGGCGUGAUGACGAUGCACUACGGUGCAGAAGUAGUUGAUGCCCUGCUUCCAGGAAAAUCCUCUAAGCUCCAGGUAACAUUAAAUCGUACCCCAAACCGACACAGGUGGUCAGGUAGAGAAUACCAAGGCGCUUGAGAGAACUCGGGUGAAGGAACUAGGCAAAAUGGUGCCGUAACUUCGGGAGAAGGCACGCUGGCAUGUAGGUGAAGUCCCUUGCGGAUGGAGCUGAAGCCAGUCGAAGAUACCAGCUGGCUGCAACUGUUUAAUAAAAACACAGCACUGUGCAAACACGAAAGUGGACGUAUACGGUGUGACGCCUGCCCGGUGCUGGAAGGUUAAUUGAUGGGGUCAGCCGCAAGGCGAAGCUCUUGAUCGAAGCCCCAGUAAACGGCGGCCGUAACUAUAACGGUCCUAAGGUAGCGAAAUUCCUUGUCGGGUAAGUUCCGACCUGCACGAAUGGCGUAAUGAUGGCCAGGCUGUCUCCACCCGAGACUCAGUGAAAUUGAACUCGCUGUGAAGAUGCAGUGUACCCGCGGCAAGACGGAAAGACCCCGUGAACCUUUACUAUAGCUUGACACUGAACAUUGAGCCUUGAUGUGUAGGAUAGGUGGGAGGCUUUGAAGCGUGGACGCCAGUCUGCGUGGAGCCAUCCUUGAAAUACCACCCUUUAAUGUUUGAUGUUCUAACUCGGCCCCAUAAUCUGGGGUGAGGACAGUGUCUGGUGGGUAGUUUGACUGGGGCGGUCUCCUCCCAAAGAGUAACGGAGGAGCACGAAGGUUAGCUAAUCACGGUCGGACAUCGUGAGGUUAGUGCAAAGGCAUAAGCUAGCUUGACUGCGAGAGUGACGGCUCGAGCAGGUACGAAAGUAGGUCUUAGUGAUCCGGUGGUUCUGAAUGGAAGGGCCAUCGCUCAACGA
rnacentral:rRNA from 1 species